GGCUCUAUGGUAUAGUGGUUAGUACGCUGGCUUAUCUUUAAGCUGGGAGGCUAGGUUCGACUCCUAGUGAGGCUC